rnacentral:lncRNA from 1 species
CUAAAUAAUAGACUAAUGCCUUUCUUUUCUCCGUGGUCCCCGCACAAUUGAGAGCAAAAGUCCUCCCAAAGCUUCCCGCACCAACCGAGGCUUUCCUUCUUGUUUUGUUUCCUAUUACUUGUAGAACUCCAAUCUCCUAAUCAGCAAAGGAAAUGCAAUCUCUUUGUAGCACCAUGUGAGACCGGUUGUUUGAAAUCUCAAUUAUCUCCAAAAAGUCCCUCAUUUUUGUAGUUUUCUGCUCCAUUCCCUGAAAUUGAGUCCAAUACCAAAUAUAAGUAAAUAUUAAUAAUUAAAACAAUAUUUGGCAAGGAUAAAGGAGGAAAUUAACAAUAAAAUAACCAACAAUUAACACCCUAUCACUUUACUAUGAGUGAGUCCUAAAGGCAACAUGAUUCUUCCUAAUCACAUAAUUUUCCUAAAUAUUGGAGCUUAGACCAACAUAUUGGCAUCAAUUCCUCGAUUCAUAGGAAUGGUAAUGUAAAAUAAUUAUAAUUACAUGGGAAACACUUGUUCAUUGGUACAAUCAAUUGAUAUGUAUUGUUUGCUCCCGAUAACAUUGGUCAUUAGUACAAUCAACGUUAACGCAUAUAAAGCCAUUGAAUUGUUGUAUUUAAGAAGGACCAUGUCUAGCCAUGCCCGAAAAUGGAAAAACAAGCAGAAUCUUUGAUUUUAUGGCAGAAGAUGGAAGCUACUCAAAAGUAAUGAACUUGCUAUUCUCCACCAAAUUCCUUAAUUAGUCAUGAAACAAGAAUUGCGUUCAAAGAUGUCUAAGGAAGAAUGAAUAAAUAAAUAAAUAAACAAUCCGAAGCUAAAACUAAAGUAGACUCCACAAAGCAAUAUGUAUAAUCCGGUUGCAUUCAGAAAGGAAAAAAUAGAAAUUAAAAAGCACAAUACCCAAAAAGAAAAAGAGAGAGAGAGAGAGAAUUUAAUCUUGUUGGUGAAGUAUUAAUGUAUUAUUGAACUUGAGAUUGGAAGCUGGAAAAAAGGGAGUUGUAAGAACGGUAAACAAAAAGUUUAAGCAGGAAAAAGUAAAAAUAGAAAUAGAGUACCUGUUGAUUUCGAGUGAAGGUACGUGACUAAUUUUAUCAUAAUCUGGAUAUUGUUCAUCAUUCGUUAUUGGAAGUCUAAUUGUGACUUGAGGCAAAUUCACAAGUUAUAGUUGAUUUAGGGUAGUUGUCAAUCUCAAUCCAUCUGAAAUCAUUUCCAAAAUUUUACAAUUUUGAAGAUGCAAACUUAAAAGCUUAGGUAUGGCCCCUUCAUCCGCCUUCCGCUUCUUUAACUUAGGCAAACAUGAUGUUUCAGCUAAUGAAAUCCCGUUGAGUGCCAAAUCAUUUCUUGGUCUAAAAAAGAGUUUUGCAAGUUGGGAAGCUUUUCCAGUGUUUCUGUUGGUCCGCCACAAUAAUGGUGUGGAACAGCUCCAAUACACGGCUAGUGGACAUGUGGGGCUGGUAAUCCUGUAAACGCUUACUUGAAGUACCAUAAUAUUCCAACCAUACAACACCCCUUCAACAACAGCCAAACCCUUGUUGUGUUAUUCAAGCCGUUGGAGUCGAUCAAAAAUUGUACUUCCAAAUUUCGGGCGAGGCGAUGCGUUUGAAAUUGAUAAGUGUUUGUCUUUAUAUCAUUUGUGUGUGCCAGGUUUUAGUGUGUUUGAAGUACUUUUGAUUCCUAUAAGAGUAUUAAUGCUAGUUUUGAUGAGAUUUUGUGUCUAUUGGGGAUUGAAUGAAAAACUUGAUUAUUUCAUUUUACUCACAAAAGCUGUGUUUUUGUAAGGAUUAAUGAUCGAGCAGUGGUUUGGAGUGAAUUUCAUAUUUAUUGGAUGGUUCAAGGAUGAUUUAGUGUGCUCGAGAAGUCACAAGUAAGUACGAGUAAGCUUGCGUGACAAAUGAAAAGGAAAAAACAAUGAAACUGGAAAACCCUUGGAUCUGGCCUUGGAUCCUCACUUGACAGAAGAUGAUCCAAGCAGAGGAUCCAAGGUAGAAAGAUACGAAGAAGUGCCCCCACGAUGAUCCAACCGUGAAUCUGUUGAAGCUAGUUGCGAAUCCCAAUUGUGGAUCGUAGUAGAGCAAAAUUGGAGAAGCAAAUCCAACACUGGAUCCUAGAUAAGCAGGCAUCGAUCCAGCACCAAAUUGAAGACAGAAUCAAACUUGAAAAACAGAACACUGGAUCCAACCCUGUUUGGACCAGAUUCGAAGAUGGAUCCUGCAACGGAUCUAUAUGGCUGUUUGGAGCAAUUAGGGUUUUGUGUCAAUUUUUUUUCUAUCUUUUUACCACCCUAUAAAUAGUAACUUAUGGGAGUGGUGCUAAGCUUUUGGAGGCACACUUUGAUGACACAAAAGUAGCUAGUUUUUACCUACAAAAACAUCUAGAGAAUUUAAGGUUUUCACCAUAACUUUUGUAGUUGCUUAGUGGGGAGAUAUUCUUGCAACUUUUGCAUCUGAAGACAAAAUUGCAAGAGAAGCUUGACGAGCUUUAUUUCUACUAUUGGAAUAAAUAUUUCUUCAACAUUAACUCUUAAGGUGUCCGCUGCAACUUUUGUAGUUGCUUAGUGGUGAGG